GCCAGUUGGGGGAUCUGCCAUUCGCCCAUCCUUGCAGUCUUCGUGAGCAGGGCUUGUGUAUGGGCGAGAGAGGGAGUCCCAUCAAAUUGAGUGCAGGAAGUUGAAAAUUACAUUGAUAAAGUAGGAUAGAAUGGCAGCCAUUUGCUAAAGCGCUUAUGUGAAACAUAACUCCAAUCAACCUCACCCAGUAUUUGUCUGCAAGUCCCCAUUUUACUCGGCAAAUACUUAAAAACGCACUUGAACCAAUACAGCCUUAAAAAUAAGAUUUAAAAAAAAUAUAUAUAAU